rnacentral:rRNA from 1 species
UGCGGUUAUACAAAUAAUAUAAUUUAAUUUUAUUGAUAGUAAUUAAUUUGAAUUUUAAUUUUAUGAAAUAAUUUAUUAGGUGAAAUUUUAAAUUUUUUUUAUAAAUUAUAUUUAUUUAAUGAUUUUAAAAAAUUUAAAAUAAAGACUAGGAUUAGAUACCCUAUUAUUUUGAAUGUAAUAAUUUAUAUUGAAUUAUUAAUAGUUAUGUUCUUUAAAUUUAAAAAUUUUGGCGGUAUUUUAGUCUUUUCAGAGGAACCUGUUUUAUAAGUGAUAGUCCACGAUUAAAUAAACUUUUUUUAAAAAAUUUACAUAUCGUCGUAAUAAAAUAUUUUCAAAGAAUUAAAAUAUUUAAAAUUUUUUAUUAAAAAAGUAAUCAGAUCAAGGUGUAGUUUAUAAAAAAGAUUUAAUGGGUUACAAUAAAUUUAUUUUAGGAUAUUAGUUAGUAAAGUUGAUUAAAUGUGGAUUUGAUAGUAAUUAUAAUUAUUUUAUUAUUAUGAUUUUAGCUCUAAAAUAUGU